UACAGGUGUUAACAAACUGGAAGCAACAAAAACUGCUAGAAAGUGCUGACACUCAACAGUACAGGACCUGUUGAUAAGCGGGAAGAAGACAAAAAGCGAGGAUUGGGAGCUCAGUCUGUUGUGCAUGUUCUUGACAAGAUGAAGGCAGAACCAAACUGAACCAGGUGGUCCCAAGGCUCCUUCUGAUUUCAUUUUGUAAGCUCAACUCUACCACCAAAAAUCAUGUGUGGCUUUAUGGACAUAGAACUCUAAAGCAGAGGAGAUUCAGCUGAUGUUCGGCAAUGCACUUAAA
rnacentral:lncRNA from 1 species